UACGAAGGGUGCUAGCGUUGUUCGGAAUUACUGGGCGUAAAGCGCGCGCAGGCGGUCUUCCAAGUCAGUGGUGAAAGCCCGGAGCUCAACUCCGGAACUGCCAUUGAAACUGUUAGACUUGAGGAUGAGAGAGGUGAGUGGAAUUCCCAGUGUAGAGGUGAAAUUCGUAGAUAUUGGGAAGAACACCGGUGGCGAAGGCGGCUCACUGGCUCAUUACUGACGCUCAGGCGCGAUAGCGUGGGGAUCAAACAGG
rnacentral:rRNA from 1 species